rnacentral:rRNA from 1 species
GACGAACGCUGGCGGCGUGCUUAACACAUGCAAGUCGAACGGAAAGGCCCUGCUUUUGUGGGGUGCUCGAGUGGCGAACGGGUGAGUAACACGUGAGUAACCUGCCCUUGACUUUGGGAUAACUUCAGGAAACUGGGGCUAAUACCGGAUAGGAGCUCCUGCUGCAUGGUGGGGGUUGGAAAGUUUCGGCGGUUGGGGAUGGACUCGCGGCUUAUCAGCUUGUUGGUGGGGUAGUGGCUUACCAAGGCUUUGACGGGUAGCCGGCCUGAGAGGGUGACCGGCCACAUUGAGACUGAGAUACGGCACAGACUCCUACGGGAGGCAGCAGUGGGGAAUAUUGCACAAUGGGCGGAAGCCUGAUGCAGAAACGCCGCGUGCGGGAUGACGGCCUUCGGGUUGUAAACCGCUUUCGCGUGUGACGAAGCGUGAGUGACGGUAAUGGGUAAAGAAGCACCGGCUAACUACG